GAGCUCAAAGUGCUGAAGAGACUGUAGUAGCUCUGGACCCGAUGAGCCAAUCACAGUGAAGGACGAGGACAAAGACACACAAAGAACCUGUGGUGAAGUCACAGGUGACGUUAAUGUCAGUCUGAACACAGCUGAAGAUUUGAUUUCUUUGUGCUGCCUCAUUUAAUGAACCUUCAGAAAAGAGAAACAGAGCCCUGAGUCUGGACUGACAGGAACCCAGCAGACCAGGCUCACAGCACCACAUCCAUUUCCUGACAACAUCCUGACGUGUCUGUGGACGGAGACAUUUCCACAGCGAGGUCUCACUCUGUCAUCUGAAUUAUGGACGAGCUCUUCUUUUUCUUCUUCUUUUCUUUCCUCCUUCAUGUUUCUGGUUUUGAUGAAGCUUGAAGCUGAAUGUGUGAUGAGCUUCAUCGUGGGGAGUCUCAUGUGAGAAGACAUUCAACUUUAAUACGUGUCUGAUCUGAGACAGAGAGAAGUCUUCCUGUUCCCUGCAUCAGGACUCAGGAUUCAGACCGGCUGGAGGCCCUUGAGGGAUUGUCUUCUGUUCAAAGGCACUCCACCCUCCUCUUCGUACUCUGCUCUUCUUCUUCAUGAACAGAAGCUAAUGUAUACGACAUCAGAUGGAGGAGAAGGGGAUGACUGCUGACUUUGCCUCGGUGGGGGGGGUGUGUCAUCGAUAAUUACAGCUGAAGCCCAGCAAGCUCUCAACCAGAACCAAACAUCCUGGACCAGCUGACACUCCCAAUACUCCCAGUAACCCCUGACACCCCAGCACCACCCUCCUCCACCCCCCACUGACAGGCUGGUUCAUUUUAAAUGAAUGUUAGCACCCGCUGAUCAGCAGCUGAGACGGCGACAGGAUGUUUCGUCACAGCGAUGUGGGAGUCUGUGAGGAGCUGGAGUUGAUGUGAUCGACUCCCCAGUGGGGUUUUCUGCGGGGGGUCCGUACUUAAUAUUAUGCAUCACCAUUCAAACUGAUGCAGCAGGAGCAGAAAUAUCAUCUUUUUAUCCAUUUCUGCUCAGGUGGAGAGAAAACAGGUGAGGUAACAACAAGACGUGAGGAGAAUGAAGUUCCAAAGUGAAAGAGCAAAUACACACUGCAACAUGAGGCACAAACUACAUCUAAACUACAUCCGGGACUGCAGGUGGAGGAUUUUUACUGCUGGUUCUUACUUACUAACUUACUGAUCCAAAUCAAAAUCGUUUCAAACAUUUUCACAACAUAUUUAAAGUGAAUGUUUCCCAAAUCAAAGCCGUGGAGCGAGCUGUGAGUCGGCUCGGCUGUUGGUCUUCUGCCUUACGAGACUCUGGUUCACGCUGUGGCAGGUGCAAUGGGGAGUGUGACAGCUAUGACCGUCUUCUUCCCUUUGGACACGGCCAAAAGCAGACUGCAGGUGGAUGAGAAGC